ensembl:misc_RNA predicted gene, 27403
ACAGCUUUGGACAAAAGUCCACAGCCAGUGUGUUCCAAGUCCCUGCUCAAGGCUGGCUGUAGCGGGGGACACUCUCCUGCUGGCUCUCUGGGUCCACACUUAGCUGGCUCCUGUCCUCAGGUGCGACCACACCCUUGCACCCAACCUUGAUCCCCGAUGGGGGAAGUCCCAGGAUUUGUCAGCUGGGACAGGCCUCACCGCAUGAGCUCU